GUGCUGUUCAUGGCGUCUUUGUGCUUGUGCGCGAAGUUUUGUGCGCUGAAGUGGUGGUGUAAAAGGCAAGUGUUCACUCACCAGGCAGGGAGGCAUGGGGAUACUUCUUUUUGCCUGUUCGGUGCAUGCACCAGUCAUGACAAUUGCAAAGUCACAUAAAGCUGAUGCAUGGAGACACCUCUCUCUAAAAAUCCAACAUGUUGCGGACAACAUCACAGAAAGAGGUAGGAAUGGUGACACAGACUUUGUGCAGCCUGAUGUGCUGGUGCACUUCAAAAGCGACGUCAUCCUUGCUUCAAAACCCGGGUUCAGUGUCCUUCGUGACAAUUUCUGAAACUUCGCUUCUAACAGAAGACCAAGCCUACCAAAGGUGUCUGUCACAAGGGGCACCUCUGAUUCCAUUACCUUCAUGAAGUCUAGAACUCUGCAACAGAGAUCAGCUGAGCUCUUACUGACCCACUUUCAGCCUCACACAUGUCAUGCUCACCCAAUGGGCAUCCAAGAGAAUCCUCAGUGCAUCGUGAGGGACAGUGUAACGCGGACACUACUAGUAGCGGUGCAGUGCAGUGCGGACAAAACUAAAGAUUUUUUGUAGGGACAUUGUGAUGCAUCACUGUUUCUGGAUAUCCAUGUGUGUUUUGUGCUACUUGUGCAUCGUAUAGAACUAACGUGGGAAAAUUACACAUCUAUGACAAUAUUCCUCAGGUGGUACACGUGUGGCACGCAACUGGUAUAGGCUUUAGAGAGGUUCCUCUCUGUAACGCUGCUUCGUAUGUUGCUGCUGCGCAGGUGGCUUCAUCCGUCCUGUCAUCAUCUACACAGUCAUAUGCCAGAUCUCCAACAGGCAAAGCAGCAAAGCAGAUUGUGGAGCUGAAAUUGUGUCAUCACAGUCACAGGGAUCUAGUGGUGUACAGGGUACACAUGUCAUCUGUAUGUCUAUGUCUGUAUGUCUUCCUGCAAGGAACAAGAGAUUUCAUUUUCA